rnacentral:misc_RNA from 1 species
CCCUUUUCCUUUUUCUUUCCCUCCCUCGUCAAUUUCCCUACCCUCCUCUCCUCCGCCAUUUACUCUUUCGACGGCGCAACCACAGACCGGCUAGCUUCUCUUCUGACGACAGUAAAUUUGGCGAACUCCAGCAGCUAGUUUGGUGGCUCCAGCAGCGGCGUUUCGCGAAGGAAAGGGAGAAGAAGUUCGCGAGUUCCUCCAUUCGCUUCGCUCUGCUUAUGCUGUCACUUUUACUAGCCUCAAGGUUGGACUACACAAC